UUUAGUCCCAGUUUAGGAUAACAUUUUAGUGAAUCAGUUUGAAGGAUAGCAUUCCAGCGAAACCACUCUUUUGCGAUAGCAAAAUCACAAUUUUCUCGUAUCGGUGACAGAAGCAGAGACAUUUGCACCUCGGUUCUUGCGAUUCAGAUACUGGACACGAGCAUGAUGCGGCGACUCCGAGGCGGAAUCAUUCCCGUUCUCUUCCUACACCUCCGAUGCUGCGGUUUGGAUUCUCUGAUAUGCUAGCGCUAGCGCCCGGAUGUCCAGGCCGCACGCCUCAGCGUGCUCUCUGGGUCUGAAGGGCGGAGCGGAGCGCCUUCCGACUCCGAGGUUUCGGGCCUGCCCGGCAGGUGUUCGACGAAAUGUCGCACUUCCGCCCGUGAGCGUUCGGCGACAUUCCUCGCCUCUGGGAGGCUACACUGGAGUCUACUAUGGGAGCCAUGGUCGUCGGAGCACGGCGAUGUGCCCAUGCCUCGCGUCUGUGCCUGGUGCACACGCUCGGAUUUCCAGGCUGCUAUGCAGAUGUGAAACUUGAGGCGGUACCAAUUGCCUCCUUUUUCUUUUUUCUCAUUUCCUUUUUUUUUAUAACUUUGGGCUGGGUGCGAGGAGGAAGCAAGAGAAGGGCCUUGACUGGAGGAAGAUCAUAAAAAGACAAAGGAAGGAAAAAGGAAAAGUUGUAAAGAAAAGGAAAAGGAAACUAGUGACGAAGCAAUUGUCCGCGUUGGCAUGCCACUUCAGAUUUUAGGUUUCUGGUGGUAUAUUUAACGAGUUUAGGGAUCUAAAAAUGCAUUUGUUACAGAUCAAGACAACUCACAUGCACAAUUUUAAGGUCCACUAGUAUAUUUUACUGUUAGAAAUUGAAGUUAUCAGCAAGUCAUAAAGCCAGGCUCAUUGAUAAAGUAGCCAUGUCAAAGCAGUAUUAUGUCAUUGAGAAAUUUAAGUUAUCAGCAAGUCAUACUAAUUUUUUAUA